rnacentral:rRNA from 1 species
UACGGAGGGGGCUAGCGUUGUUCGGAAUUACUGGGCGUAAAGCGCACGUAGGCGGCUUUGCAAGUCAGAGGUGAAAGCCCGGGGCUCAACCCCGGAAUAGCCUUUGAGACUGCAUCGCUAGAAUUGUGGAGAGGUAAGUGGAAUUCCGAGUGUAGAGGUGAAAUUCGUAGAUAUUGGGAAGAACACCGGUGGCGAAGGCGGCGACCUGGUCCAUUACUGACGCUGAGGCGCGACAGCGUGGGGAGCAAACAGG